GAUGAACGCUGGCUACAGGCUUAACACAUGCAAGUCGAGGGGAAACGACGGGGAAGCUUGCUUCCCCGGGCGUCGACCGGCGCACGGGUGAGUAACGCGUAUCCAACCUGCCUCUGACUGAGGGAUAACCCGUCGAAAGUCGGCCUAAUACCUCAUGGUAUCGUCUGCGGGCAUCCAACGACGAUUAAAGAUUUCAUCGGUCAGGGAUGGGGAUGCGUCUGAUUAGCUUGUUGGCGGGGUAACGGCCCACCAAGGCUACGAUCAGUAGGGGUUCUGAGAGGAAGGUCCCCCACAUUGGAACUGAGACACGGUCCAAACUCCUACGGGAGGCAGCAGUGAGGAAUAUUGGUCAAUGGGCGAGAGCCUGAACCAGCCAAGUAGCGUGCAGGAAGACGGCCCUAUGGGUUGUAAACUGCUUUUAUGCGGGGAUAAAGUGAGGGACGUGUCCCUCAUUGCAGGUACCGCAUGAAUAAGGACCGGCUAAUUCCGUGCCAGCAGCCGCGGUAAUACGGAAGGUCCUGGCGUUAUCCGGAUUUAUUGGGUUUAAAGGGAGCGUAGGCCGUGGAUUAAGCGUGUUGUGAAAUGCAGGUGCUCAACGUCUGCACUGCAGCGCGAACUGGUCCACUUGAGUGUGCGCAACGCAGGCGGAAUUCGUCGUGUAGCGGUGAAAUGCUUCGAUAUGGCGAAGAACUCCGAUUGCGAAGGCAGCUUGCGGGAGCACAACUGACGCUGAAGCUCGAAAGUGCGGGUAUCGAACAGG
rnacentral:rRNA from 1 species